CGGUCUUGUUCUCGCUGCAUCGAUGAUCGACCCGAGCUCCGCGCUCCCGACGCUUGGUUCUUCCCCUUGAUCGGAGGAGCUGAAUCCCGCGAAGACGAACGUAGAUCCAUCUUCUUCCUCUCAGGUUCCUCCUCCUCGAUCUUGAGGGAGAAGGCGACUCUGAGUUGUAACUUCGCUUCCGAUUUUUGAAGCUUGCCUCGGCUCUGGCCUUGUCUGGUGGUCGAUUCGAGACUCGUUUUCUUCUCCGUUUCCUUUUCAUGUUAAAAUGGCGGCGCUGCCGGAUCUGGUCCUGGUUUUGGAUCGGGAUGGGAGGAAUAUCAAUGGCGCCGAGGCGGUGGGUUUCUUUCAGGAUUACAAUUUGCCGAGACAUGUUUUCGCCAAGUUUUGUUCCGAAGCUCACUGGUGAAUCGUGAAGCAAUGGGUAACUCUUUAAGGUGACAUUUGGUAUCAUUGUUAGGCUGGCUCUAGAAUGAAAUGGAACAGAAUCGAAUCAAGGUUGCAAUCUGAACAUGAAAGGGCUUCUGGGUUGAACUUGCAAGGGGAAGAUCACCAAAAAACCCUCAAACCAUUCAACAUCAAGAAUGACUUCACACCCCGAGGAAGAUGAAAAGAUUACACUGACCUUCGAAUAAUGUGUUAUCCAUUUAGAUCGCACAUUCCAUAUAUUGGUAUAUCAUAGCAAAUCUACUGAGAGUAAACUUUGAACUUCAACACCUUUUAUUUAUCAAAAGUUUAGUUAAUCUAUUUUAUAGGUUCAAUUUGUUCUUCUUUUAUUAUUGGGGGUAUCAAUUGUGGCAAAAAAAAGGCGAAACGCUCGCCCCCAGCGCCCCCGUCGUACCCGACCUAAGGCCAUCACGAGGGAGGUAAAUCGAAGCAUCCGAGCAAGCAUGUGACGGACAGGGUGUAAUACGGGGAUAGAGAUUAUUGGGGGUAUCAAGAAAGGAUAAAACGUGGUUGGAUUUGAAUUUGAUCAACUACCUUAGAAGGUGAUAGAACAAGUACGAGUAGAUUAUUAAGUACUCAUCGUACAAAUGAGAUAGGUAUGGAAAAUAUACCAAGUCAGUAUGAAUAUGGAUAGUUGAAAAUUCUUAGGUACUCUAUCUAUUGUGUUCCCUAGAUAAAAGUUUAUAACCUUAGAUAUGGGAGAUAUCUUUAAGACAAUGUCCUAAUACAAUUUUCAUAAUGAACAAUUGGAUAAAAUAAUGUGAAACGUAUGGCACAAUAUUGAUAUAGUUUCUUUUAUCUAAAGCUACAAAUACUUACAAGAACAGAUGUUGACCUAUCAGUGAACUCUCUGGCUAGGGGACGAUAUUCUUUGUUAAUGCAAUCAAACAACUAAAUAAGAGUAUGAGCCAAGCACACAAUUGAACAAAUUUAAACAUGUAAUAUACAAAGAAGAAUUUGGUGGGUUUUCAUUUCAUGUUGUUUUUGUUUCUUUGGCAUUGUGCUUAUUUCUUAUUUGAAAUUUAGCAAAUCAUUCAUGUGUUUAAUUGGGUUGAACCGGCCUUAGGGUGAUCCAUUGACAGAGCAAUAGCUGGCACUUUGAUCAACCGAUUUGUCAAAGAACAAAUUUUUAAGGUUGAUUCAUGAUGGUUCUUAGUGUUUUGAGCCUCUUGAAUGAGAUGACCAUGCUUCCUCAAAAGUAAAAAAAAGGAGAUGGAAACGAAACAAAGAAAAGUAAUACAAGUAAUAAACAAAGAUCCACAUGAGGAGCAUGUCGUGAAUAAGAAUGACACUAAUAUGGGAUACCUUAGAUUUUUAUUGCAUACAAACAUUUUAUUUCAUGGUAACUUUAUUAUACAUAUAUAUGAUACAUAUCCAUGAUAGAAGUACCAUUGGGACACUUAUAGAACACUAACCUGGUAACAACUAGUACAUCUCCCCGAUCUCAACUAGUCAUUAAGACAAAGAUACAGAGGACGAGCUACUGUUAAACUCAACCAAAUCUACCAUAAUUUGUCCUGUAAAACCUGGGCCGGGUGGUCACAAAUAGAAGUCCUCCGAAUUCCCUAGCAACUUGGGUGCUAUCAAUCGUCACCUCUAUCUUUGGAGGAGUGUUGUAGUGGAAGUACCCAUUAGGAGGAGGGGGUGCAGCUGUUGACCUCCUCCUCCCAAAGUGCUCCUCUAACAUAUCAAAAGCCUCUCUUCCCACCUUACCAAGGUCUCUCUGAGGUGGUGCCAUAAGUGGAUGGGUCUUUGAGAAGAUGGAACUAAAGGUGACCACUAGCUUUUUCUUGCUGAACACCAAACAACUGUACGGGUAUCCUUUUUAUAAGCGAGGUUUAGAUCAAUGUUUGAGAUCCAACCCCGGCCUGCCUGGCCCAACCAACUAAAACAAUAAUGGAAGACUAAAUUAGUCUUGAACCGAUUCAAUCCGAUCGAGAAUUCACUUUAGUUGACUAGGAGUCAAGGUCCAGCUUUUUUUUUGCCUUUCGGUGGUCUUGGGAUUCCUCUUUGAUCAGUUGUUGGCAUUGAUGCUCUUCCAAUUUCCUGAAAUUAUUGUGUGAAAGGAAUAUUUAAGGUGAUGAUUUGAAUUGAUUGAGGUUAUGGUAGAUAAGAGAGAAGAAAAGCAUAUGAUGAUACAUCUGAUGUUGGUAAAGAGAAUUAUUGGGAUAAGUAUUAUGGUAGAAGUAUUGAUUGGAACAAAAGUUUGUUUAUUUGAGUUUGGAAUUAGAUGCGGCAAUCAUGCAUUAUUCUGUAACUUUAUUGGGCCUAACUUGUUGGCAAGUGCCUUGAAUAUGUUGGAUAUAGAUGAUGAACUACAUGUGCAACACAAUCAGAAUUUCAAAUCGAUUCAUUGGUGAGUGAACAUAACCUACAAUAUAUUCAUCCUUGUUUAGAGCUGUUUUAUCCCCCAAUUUGAUUCAUUUUUUCUGUAUUCUUUUAGUUCAAUAAUUUUCGUUUUAAAAAAACAUAUUUCAGGUAAGUUAAAUCUAAAGAUGAAAUAUUCUCAUUCCUUUUUAUUUGUGAACAGAGCAUCCUUGUUUAUUGUAUAUUGACCAGGUGGAACUCUCUAGUUCGAAGUGUAUACCUUACCAAAAAAAUAUUCUUUUAUUCCGGUACUAUAUUUCUUAUUUUAAUUAUUCUCCACAAAAUUAGAAUAAGGAUUUUUGUCUUUUGUAAGCUCCCUGUGGGUUCGUAUAUUGUUGCCACUUGAUAUUUUGGAAAUCAAAUUGCGGGAGUGGCCAUUGCCAUUAGAUUUCUGUUUAUUUUGAUCAGACUAUUUUUCUUUAAUUUUGCAAUUAAACUUAUUGAACUGUUCACUCCUAUUGAAUUUGUGAAAUAUCGUCUACUAAAGUGUAAAGAUGAGAUGGUUCUCAACAUGGGUCGCAAAGUGAGUCCAUCAUUCAUUUGUUUUAGUUUCUCGAAUACCCUUUGUCAUCCUUAAACAAGUCACAUGCAUCUUCACUACGAAGAAUUCAGAGCCAUUAUCGACUAAUGAAAAAGUUCCCAGCAUAAGUUUUCAUAGGGUCAUCAACUUGUUCUUCAGAUAGGAGAACUGGAUUAGUGCAUUCACAAACUCUUCUUUCUCUAUUCACAAAGAACUCCCAUGCAUACCUUGUUUUGUCGCGACUCCACAUAUCUUGAAGUUUUUCUCAUACUUCGUAUGAGAAGAUCACACUCCUCUACCAUCCUAGACUUUCCCGAGCUAGACUCUGUCGUCGUCAUCACCCCCAAUUCUGUCUAUUAUUGCUACCUCUAGUUGCUGCUGAGGUACAAGAAGAUGUGAGGGGAGUUAGAACACUAGAAAAGCAACAAUAAAUCACAAACAACAAGGUAUAAGUUUAAUAAAUUAUGCCCUUGGUAUAAUGAUAUUGAUCCUGUCCGAAAGUUGAGUAGGUUGAUGUUGGGGACGUGACGCUCCUGCUGACCUCCGAGGGACUUCACUCUCGUCUACAACACAAGCAACGUCAGUGCGGAGCCAAUGAAGGGAUCCCCAGCGAUGGUUCUCCGACGUUCAAGUCAGUUUCCGGCGAAGUAAGAAGCAAAGGGAGCUGUAGCGCAACUGUAGAGAUUGUGAGAAAAAGCAUACCUCUGCCGAUGCUUGGACCCCCUUUAUAUAAGGCUCCUGCAGCGUGUGUGCACGUUUCUUAAAGCGGGCACAAUAUCUCAAGCUUUCCCUGAAGAGACAUGUCAGUAAAGUGUCCUUGACACAGUACCUUAACGAGCCGAACAUAUCUCUGAAGUAACAGUGGAAGCUUCCGUCGUACGAUCUUCUGCCUGACCAUGUCGUCCGUCGGCGGUACUAACUCCUAAAAGGAUGUUGAAGGAUAUCCUGUGAUAUCUGUUGCUCAGUCGAAUGACAUGGCCGCUCGAUUGAAAGUCUCCUGUAGUGUCGCCUGUUGUGGGUCGAGUGGGAUGGCCGCUUGGCGAAGAGUCCCUUGUAGUGUCCCCUGUUGUGGGCCGAGUGAGAUGGCCGCUCGCCCAGAGUUUGUUAUCUGGCUGAUGAGUCAACUACUUGUCGAGCGGAGCAGUCGCUCGGCCGAUACUUACACUGUCUGGUUGCCGCACGUGUAUCUUGACCGAGUGGAAUAGCCGCUCGGCUGUAGUUGUGUUGCCCGCGUGUGGUUCGCUCGGCCAUGCCUCUACUCCGCUGAUCUGAGCAUCAAUGUAAGGUCGAGCGGGGUAGCUGCUUGGCCCGCUUCUGCAAACACUUGGCAGUCAUUCCUGUCUUGAGCGUCUUAGCUUAGCUGGUGGCUGAGCUAGUAGUGAUGUCGGGUCGGACCUUUCAUAUCUUGGUCGGACAAACUACUCGUCCGUCUGGCCAGUGAUAGUGGGGCGUUGACUGCCUUGACUUUGACCUUCACUGUGGCGAAGACCUUUCCCAAGGUGGGUUCCUUUUUAUUAUCGCAUCACACGCUUCCCCUUCAAGUCUAGUCGAAGGAGGUUAUAGUCCGACUGACUGGACCAUUGUAUGGAUAACUUCCAUCUUGAUCGGCUUUCCUCAUUGUGUGGACCGUAGGAUAGGUCCGAUCCUUGCCGAUCGUCCUUUUGAAGUUUGCCGCUCGGUCAUAAACAUAUUCCCUUGGUCCGAUCGGGCGGACAAAGGUUUACACAUUCUAGAAUUUUUUCCUCGGGCAAGCGCGGAUUGGGCUGAUGUCACCCCAAUUUCUUGGAAAGCGUGCAAAUUCCUUUUCAUUAAGGCAGAACAGGUUCCCAUGCUAGCCUUAAUUGCUGAUCCGUGGUAGCACGCCAUGUGUCAUGCUCGUAGUCGCCGCACGCCUGACGUGAUGGACAUUGAUGACGAUGUUUGGUGGUUUAAAUUCAACGGUGAGAUCAGGGGCGGAUCCAGGAUUUUAGAUCUGGGGA